AUUGAACGCUGGCGGCAUGCCUAACACAUGCAAGUCGAACGGGGGCAGCAAUGCCCUAGUGGCGGACGGGUGAGGAAUACGUAGGAACCGGCCCACGAGUGGGGGACAACCUGGGGAAACCCAGGCUAAUACCGCAUACGCUCGCGAGAGGAAAGCGGGGGGACCUUCGGGCCUCGCGCUGGUGGACGGGCCUACGUCCGAUUAGCUAGUUGGUGGGGUAAAAGCCUACCAAAGGCGACGAUCGGUAGCUGGUCUGAGAGGAUGAUCAGCCACACUGGGACUGAGACACGGCCCAGACUCCUACGGGAGGCAGCAGUGGGGAAUAUUGGACAAUGGGCGCGAGCCUGAUCCAGCAAUGCCGCGUGGGUGAAGAAGGCCUGCGGGUUGUAAAGCCCUUUAAGCGGGGAGGAAAGCCGGGGUGUGAAUAGCGCCUCGGGGUGACGUUACCCGCAGAAUAAGCACCGGCUAACUCCGUGCCAGCAGCCGCG
rnacentral:rRNA from 1 species